UGGAAUGAGGCUUCGGCCAAAGAAAAUGGUUGCUUAGUGGCGGACUGGUGAGUAACGCGUGAGUAACCUGCCCUUCAGAGGGGGAUAGCGUUUGGAAACGAACGGUAAUACCGCAUAAUGUAUUUUGACCGCAUGAUCGAAAUACCAAAGAUUUAUCGCUGAAGGAUGGACUCGCGUCUGAUUAGGUAGUUGGUGGGGUAACGGCCUACCAAGCCGACGAUCAGUAGCCGGACUGAGAGGUUGAUCGGCCACAUUGGGACUGAGACACGGCCCAGACUCC
rnacentral:rRNA from 1 species